GAUGAACGCUGGCGGCGUGCCUAAUACAUGCAAGUCGAGCGAACGGACGAGAAGCUUGCUUUUCUGAUGUUAGCGGCGGACGGGUGAGUAACACGUGGAUAACCUACCUAUAAGACUGGGAUAACUUCGGGAAACCGGAGCUAAUACCGGAUAAUAUUUUGAACCGCAUGGUUCAAAAGUGAAAGACGGUCUUGCUGUCACUUAUAGAUGGAUCCGCGCUGCAUUAGCUAGUUGGUAAGGUAACGGCUUACCAAGGCAACGAUGCAUAGCCGACCUGAGAGGGUGAUCGGCCACACUGGAACUGAGACACGGUCCAGACUCCUACGGGAGGCAGCAGUAGGGAAUCUUCCGCAAUGGGCGAAAGCCUGACGGAGCAACGCCGCGUGAGUGAUGAAGGUCUUCGGAUCGUAUAACUCUGUUAUUAGGGAAGAACAUAUGUGUAAGUAACUGUGCACAUCUUGACAGUACCUAAUCAGAAAGCCACGGCUAACUACGUG
rnacentral:rRNA from 1 species